rnacentral:miRNA from 9 species
ACCAAAUAGACAACAUAUCAUG